rnacentral:lncRNA from 1 species
CACAUUACAUAUAUUGCCACAUGUUAGAAAAGUGCAACACUCUCUGUUCGUGAACAACUCUUUGUCUGUUCUGCAGGUGGAAUUUAUCUGUCCCUAUCCAAAAUAUCUUGAUUUCAAAAUCAGUCGAAAUUCAUGUCUCUUAUCAAGGUUAACUAACUGCAGAUAUAACCAAUAUAAAUUACAUCCAAAUUAUUCUCGUUUUGAAAAUGCAUGAAAUAUUUUCUACUGAAAGCAAACAAACAGCAACCAGUUAAUGAAAAACAAAGUUCCAUUUCUUUGCUUCAUGUUUCAGUUCACUUAUUUGAAUUUGGAUUUUCUAAAACUUUGUUUGUCAAUUUUGUUCUAUUGAGAUAAAAAGAGAUAAUAAAUUUACUUACUGAAAAACAGAAUGAGUACCAACAUGUACCUAUAAACGUAGUUUCACCAAACAGAACACUCAUAUGACAUAAAAACUUUCCCAGCUUGUUUUGAAGAAUAAAUUAUUUCUAGCGAACCAUCAGUUAUUUACUUUGGUUGUGUUUU